rnacentral:lncRNA from 1 species
UUUCGGCAAAUUCGGUAAAUUUUUAAAGCUUUUGAGCUUGUUGCAUGCUGUUAAUUGUAUUUUUCCAUGGAAGUUAAAUCGGGAAAGCAUAAAGAUUUAUUUCUUUUUAAAUUUAUUUUUGUCCACUCACUCUAACGGUUUCAAAUGUUUUCUCCUGGGCUCUUCGUUUUAUAAAUGCCCAGUUACAGGUUAGCAUAGUAAGGCCGAGCAUACAUGGAGAAGAGGCAUAGUCAAUAGUAUAGCUUCCGCUCAUUUCUAUUUAUUUCUAGUUCCUCUCCUCUCAAGUAGAGUUGCUCUGAAUAUGUGGUUGUUGGUUAUAGGAUCUUUGUUAGAUUAGUGAAUCUAUAUUGGGAGAUGUUGUGAUUUGUGGGGAGCACGAAGGCUCCAGGAGUUAAGGUUGGAGUUGGAACUUUUAGAAGUGCUUGCAGGUGUUUUAUUUAGGAAGGGUUGUCCAUUUUCAAGGGAGGUUAUGCCGAAUUUUCAGUAAAUUUUCCUUGGAGGUGAUCCCCGCAGGAUUUACUUCGGGUUUCAGGGUGAAAUUCGGGGUGGGUCCUGACAACCUCUAUGUUGGAAUGAGGUGGGAGAAAAAGAGUUUUGUGGUCCAGAGAUUAUCCAAGAUACAAAUGAGAAGAUCAAGAUGAUUGAUAGGAGCACAAAGUGCUACGAUAUUAACGUAUUUCCUACCUUAUUUAGUUAUGUUAUUCUCUUAACAUUGUCAUUUUAAACAUGUUUUGUGAUUGUAAAGGUAAAAGAGCGGAAAAGUGAAAAAGGAAGCUAAAACCGGCGGAUUAAGAAGGAUAAGUCGUCUAGGAAAUUUUCCUGUUUUGAUAAGGAGAAACUUUCCUAUUUCAUUUUGGGAAACUUUCCUAUUUUGAUUGGGGAAACUUACUAACUUUGAAUCUUUCCUAUUUUCACUUUCCUGAAUUAUUUUGGAAACUUUCUUUCCUCUUGAGACAGGGAUUCCACAUGAAGCAAGGAAACCAAAUCCUACAUGGAUUAGGCCGAAAUUCUGUCACAUAAAAGGAGGAGAAUGGCACCAUCUUUUU